GGAAACAAACACCCGCCACCCGCCACUCUGCCCUGAUCGUACAAGCUUCAGAGCUGGCAGGGAGCAUGGAGACCUGGAGACACCUCAGACAGCGAGGAAUGAGACCUGGGAGUGGGGGCCUGGACCCCUGACUGUGAUCCACUCCUGAGCGCUGCAACAAGUCCCGUCCCUUGGAACAGGCCUUGUGACCCACACACAAAGGCCUCCCGGAAUGGAUGUGUGCCCUCAGUCCCACGGAUGCCACAGUGACAGCAACAGGAGAUGUGUUAAUCGACAAAGACCCAACUACGGGCCAAGCGUGAUGGUGUGUGCUGGGGUUACGGCAGCAAACAACAAGGUGUGGCCAUAAGAGUGCAUCAGACAAGUGAACCAUCUCUUGGACGGUUUACCCUCUCCUCUUGCUUCAAGAAGCAGGGCAAGAGAGGGCAAAUGGCAUGUGUGCUAAUGGAUUGGGAAGGCCGUCCACCAUUCAUCCUCCUGCCUCAACCUCCCAGAGUGCUGGGAUCUGGGGCUGAGCCACCACACUGGACUCUCAUGAGAGCCUCUUAUGCAGCCCUGGCCUCCCACACCUCCCAGCACAGCUGUCAGCCUCAUGCUCCACACUGGCCUCACCUCCCACCAUAUUGCCGAAAACCCUGCCUUACUCUCAGUGAUCCAGAUAAACCGAGGCAGUGGCAGUGCCCAGCACCUGAGUAUCUGCAGGUCUACAAAUACAUCAAGGAUCCCACAGAACAGCAGCAGUAGAGGCUACACCAAUUUAACUUUUAAAAACUAAAAUGGAAGUUCGGAGUGGUGACACACAUCUGUGACCCUAGCACUCUAGGAGGCUGAGACAGGAGGAUCAAUCACAAUUUCAAUCCUAACCAAGGCAGUUUAGUAACAUAGUAACACCUUGUCUAAAAAAAAAGAGGGGGGGAUGUAGCUCAGUGAAAAGGCCCUGAGUUCAAUGCCCAUCACCACAAAGAACAACAGUAAGAAACCUAGAGUGAAAUAAAAAUCUCAGCUCAGUCAUAUCGACCAUAUUUCAAAAGUUAGGCAGCCUCACAGGGCUGUGGUUGCCAAACUGAGGGCAGCUGCAGGGCUCCCCACAGCAUUGCAAGGGCAGGCAGGGCCCUGGAAACCUGUCCAUAUCAUGAGCAUGGACACAGCUGCCUCUACAGAGGGUGAGAGCAGGCAGCAAGCUGCCUAGGUGUGUGCUCCAGGCUGACAUGAGCCAGCUGGAGAGAGCUGGAUACUCCUGGGGGAAGAUGUUUUCCUCAGCUGCAAUGAGUCACUGUCCCGUUCCCAGGGCAGGAACGGACCUGUGAGGAGGCCAGACAGGGACCCUUUCCUGUGCAGCUCCCUCCUCUGGCCUCCAGGCCCCACCUAGCAUGCCAUCAACCACAGGCCAGCUCCAAAGAGCUCCUCAGUUUACAAAUCACUGCUCAGGUCUGUUUGGAGUCACAGGACAGAAGUCUUUCUGGUCCCAGUGGCCUGUGCACACUUCUGAGGCCAACUCACUGGCUCCCUCGGUCACAAGCACGAAGAACUGACAGAGCCCACCAAGGAGAAUGUUGUGCACAACUCCUCCAGGAAGCUGUGAUGUUACUCU